CGUAGGGUGCGAGCGUUAAUCGGAAUUACUGGGCGUAAAGCGUGCGCAGGCGGUGAUGUAAGACAGGUGUGAAAUCCCCGGGCUUAACCUGGGAACUGCAUUUGUGACUGCAUCGCCGGAGUGCGGCAGAGGGGGAUGGAAUUCCGCGUGUAGCAGUGAAAUGCGUAGAUAUGCGGAGGAACACCGAUGGCGAAGGCAAUCCCCUGGGCCUGCACUGACGCUCAUGCACGAAAGCGUGGGGAGCAAACAGGAUUAGAUACCCUGGUAGUCCACGCCCUAAACGAUGUCAACUGGUUGUUGGUCCUUCACUGGAUCAGUAACGAAGCUAACGCGUGAAGUUGACCGCCUGGGGAGUACGGCCGCAAGGUUG
rnacentral:rRNA from 1 species